GUUAAUUGAUGUCAAGGUACAUAUACCAAACUUGGAACAAUACAGAGAAGAUAGGCGUGGCUCCUGCGCAAGGAUGACGCGCUAAUUCAAGAAGCGUUCCAUAUUUUU
rfam:Biomphalaria glabrata isolate BB02 unplaced genomic scaffold LGTN_random_Scaffold10477, whole genome shotgun sequence.